ACCUACAAGAAGCUUUUUUCUGGCUUGUAUGAUAGUGUAAACUCAUUAUUUUCUUGCAUCCCCUUUCAAAGAGUGAAAACUUCCUUUUUCUGUAAAGUCUCAUUCUCGGAGUGAGGCUGUGUGUGACAGACUGAUACAAGUGGGUCCUCUGAGUUUUUCUUUGUUUCAGAAAUCCAGUUGUAGUCCCACAUGAGAUGGAGGCUCAGACAGUCACGUGGUUGGUUUUUCUGACCCUAAUAAAACAUGUUUCUACAAGUAACCCUAGAAAUCCCUUUAAACUAGAACCUGGUUGGCUGCCGGCUACUGAGGGAUCCUGCUUUGAAAUUAAAUGCCAAGUCACAAGCUAUGUUGACGGAGAUGAUGCAAACUGGUUUUGAUGAAAGAUAGACGAUGGUCA